UGGGGAAUAUUGCACAAUGGGGGAAACCCUGAUGCAGCGACGCCGCGUGAACGAAGAAGGUAUUCGUAUCGUAAAGUUCUGUCCUAUGGGAAGAUAAUGACAGUACCAUAGAAGAAAGCUCCGGCUAAAUACGUGCCAGCAGCCGCGGUAAUACGUAUGGAGCGAGCGUUGUCCGGAAUUAUUGGGCGUAAAGGGUACGCAGGCGGUUAAUAAGUCGAAUGUUAAAGAUCGGGGCUCAACCCCGCAAAGCAUUGGAAACUGAUAAACUUGAGUAGUGGAGAGGAAAGUGGAAUUCCUAGUGUAGUGGUGAAAUACGUAGAUAUUAGGAGGAAUACCAGUAGCGAAGGCGACUUUCUGGACACAAACUGACGCUGAGGUACGAAAGCGUGGGGAGCAAACAGG
rnacentral:rRNA from 1 species